UCAUUAGCCUUAUGCAGCUCUCAAAGCUAGAGAAUAUCUUGAUAAGCCUGCAAUACAUGAGACAAUGGUGAAGGUUAGCGCUUAUCUGCUUGGAGAAUACAGCCAUCUUUUGGCCAGACGACCUGGGUGUAGCCCAAAGGACAUUUUUGUCAUUAUACAUGAGAAGCUUCCUACUGUAUCGACUCCAACAAUAUCCAUUCUUCUCUCAACAUACGCAAAGAUUUUGAUGCACUCUCAACCACCAGAUCCCGAAUUACAAAACCAGAUCUGGGCAAUAUUCAACA